rnacentral:lncRNA from 1 species
GUAACACCCACAUAUAAUAUAUGUCUAGAAUACAUAUUAUACAUAGUGUAAAACUGGUACUGAAAUACAUAAGUGCCUAGCAGCACAUCAUACAUAUACAAUACAUGCCCAAAAUAACAUAAUAUGGCAUAAGUGUACAUAAGAGUGCCCAAAAUAAAACUACUGAACUAGAUCAUUAGACAAUGAUCUCAAAAAUAUCUACACAGCGGAAGAAAAGCCAUCAGUCCUCAGGUAAGCAAGACAUCACUCUAUCUUGCCCUUACCCUUAUCCUGUUCAGAACCACCU